rnacentral:rRNA from 1 species
AAAGGAGGGGCAAUACCGAAUAUUGUCCGGAACCGUGAAGGGUUUCGGGGAAAGGGAGGCCUCUGACACAAGCUUUCGCCUUAAGAUGAGCCCAUGGCCCAUCAGCUAGUUGGUAGGGUAAAGGCCUACCAAGGCUACGACGGGUCGCUGGUCUGAGAGGACGACCAGCCACACUGGCACUGAGAUACGGGCCAGACUCCUACGGGAGGCAGCAGUGAGGAAUAUUGCGCAAUGGGGGAAACCCUGACGCAGCAACGCCGCGUGUGGGAAGAAGGCCUUCGGGUCGUAAACCACUUUUACUCGGGACGAAAAAGGGAUAUCAAACAAAUAUCCCCGAUGACGGUACCGUGAGAAUAAGCCACGGCUAACUCUGUGCCAGCAGCCGCGGUAAGACAGAGGUGGCAAGCGUUGUUCGGAAUUACUGGGCGUAAAGAGUCUGUAGGUGGUUUGUCAAGUCUUUGGUGAAAGGCCGUAGCUUAACUAUGGGAAUGCCAAAGAGACUGGCAGGCUGGAGGCUGGGAGAGGGAAGCGGAAUUUCUGGUGUAGCGGUGAAAUGCGUAGAUAUCAGAAGGAAGGCCGGUGGCGAAGGCGGCUUCCUGGAACAGUCCUGACACUGAGAGACGAAAGCGUGGGGAGCAAACAGGAUUAGAUACCCUGGUAGUCCACGCCCUAAACGAUGGGUACUAAGUGUGGAGGGGUUAAACCCUCCGUGCCGCAGCAAACGCAGUAAGUACCCCGCCUGGGGAGUACGGCCGCAAGGUUGAACUCAAAGGAAUUGACGG